AGUGUGUUUUGUCGUCUGACUCUAUCUACCGAGCCGUUUUUGUUCGCUGUCGUUCAGCUACGUCCUGGUUUUCACCUGAUAUGAGGCACAGAGGCUCUAUUCACUUCCUGAUUGGGUGUCUGUUGCUAAGCGACCAGCCGUCCAACAGAAAGCUCCUGGUUGAUCUUUUGCUGCUCUGGUGAUCCUGCUGUGGAGACACUUUACUCUCCGUAUGCUUUAUUAUCCAUGAAUCUGCUCCUGACAUUCUGACCUGUUCUUUAUCACUGUGGCUCAUCAUCUGGUUGCUGAUUUGUGGUCUCUACGUCAUUAAACGUCUUCACUCUUGAGUCCUGGUUGUUACAACAUCCUUUAUUCAUUCUCUCUUUUCUGUCUUUUUUUCAUUUCGUGCUCAAUUUUUGUUUUGUUUUUUUCACAUCACACACAGCAAUCAACAGUCGCAUGACUCACUCAGAACUCGCUCAAUCUUUAUUUGUCUAAAAUAAACCCCAGCUGAAAUUCCACUUCAAUUCUAUUCAAAUAAAAAUAUUAUUGCAUUUUUAAAAGAACACGUAAUCCUCCUCUUUACUGAUUAUUAAUUAUUAUUCUUAAUUAUUAUGAUUUUUAUUAUAAUUCUUCUUCUUCUUCUUGUUAAUCUUGUGAUGUUCUAAUGUGCCGUGUUCUUCAGUAAGCGAGCAAGACAGAGAUGAAGCUGAAGCAGGAUCAUGUCCUGAACGUGUGUUUAUGCUGCAGAGCACGGUGUGUGUGUGUGUGUCUAUGUGUGCGUGUCUGUGUGUGUGUGUGUGCAUCAGGUUCCUCUGGAGGUGAACCUAGUGUGUUUCAGCCGUGUCGCAGCUUGUGGAGUUUCUGAGCCAUGUUCUCCAACUCGUUCUCCAUCACAGCCAAACUCUCCAUCUCAGCGUCCUGCAGCACAACACAAGAACAUCAAAACGUUCCUCAAGGGUUCUUUUGAUAAACAAUAAAGCGAGAACUGUAAUGUCUUUCUCAAAUUAAAAUUUUCUUUCUGUUAUUCAAUGCUUCUAUUCUUCAUUUUUGCUUCUUUUCUCUUUCAUGUUCUUACUUUUUUCUGCUUACAUGUUUUUUUCACUUUCUCUCUCACGUUCAGUUUUUCCUUCAGUUUACCUGCGUAUGAAAUGCAGAUCUAGUUGAUUAGUUUUGUAUAUGUUUUAGCUGUAUUCAUUCAUUAUGUGAUUAAUCAGUGUGUUGAAUGAACUCAGUUCAGGCUGAUGACAUCAUCAUCAUCAUCAUCAUCAUCCUCAGUGCUGGAGCAGGAGAUGUGAUGUAAGCUCCUCACCCUCUCUAAUAUCAUUACCUCAGUCUUCUUGGUAGCGCUGCCUUCCUCCAUGUCUCUGUGCUCCUCAGGUUCUCUUCCUGCCAUCAUCUGGAGCUCCUCCUCCUCAGGACUCUUCCACGCCUCCUUGGAGUGGUGCGGCGCCUCCUGCUGGCCGUAAGCCCUGCGCUGGGCCAGCUCUCUGCUCCGACUCCAGUCUCUCUGCUGCCUCUCAACCUCCUCUUCCUCCUCCUCUUCCACAUGGCUGUGAUCUGGAGCUCCAGCUGCUCCUGCCUCAUCUACUGAAGGAAACAAAUCAUUAGUUGAUCUUUUUUAACUAAUUUAAGGAUGGUUUAAAUGAUUUAAACACGUUUUUGUAUAAUAAUAAAAAGUGACAUCACCUUCUUCCUCUUCAUCAAUGUUAUCUGUUUUCUUCAUCACAGCAUGUUCCUUCUUCUCAUCUUCCUCGUGGCUGGUGAUGAUGUCAUUCUCCUGCGAAUUGUGUUCCUUCUCCUUCUCUGCUCCUCUCUCCUUCAGCAAAUUUCCCGGAGUCAAGACCAUCAGCAUGGACUGAUCUGUCAGGAGGAAGCAGGAUGAUAGAGACAGAGGAACCACAAAAGCUUUCUAAAGAUAAACACAUUGUUUUAUUUUUUUUACACAUUUCUGGAUAAACUGCAUGUUUCUCUCUGACGGAAACCAGGACACUGUGAUGUGUUUGCAUGAGUGUGUGUGAUCUACAGUAAAGGAAAAUUAGAUGUUGCUUUUUACCUGCAGGCUCCUGGAGAUCUGGGGUGUGGUCAGGACCUUCCUCAAGUCCCUUCUCAGGCCUCUCAUUGGCUCCUGGGAGAAGAGAAGGUGGAGUGAAACACAUGUAAACUUAACUGUAAUAAAAAGUCUGAGGAAUUAAACGACCUUCUCCAGCGAUGUCCUGCAGCUCCUGGAGGAAGUUGUGGCGACGCAACACGGUCACCAGUCUUUCAUCUGUACACACACACACACACACACACACACACACACACAGAUGAGUACAUCCUGAGAUUACUGGAUGAACUUUUUACCUGUUUAAUAAAACAUUUGUGUUUUAUUAAGAGAGAGAGAGAGAGAGAGAGAGAGAGAGAGAGAGAGAGAGAGAGAGAGAAAGAAAGAGAGAGAGCGAGAGAGAGAGAGAGAGAGAGAGAGAAAGAAAGAGAGAGAGCGAGAGAGAGAGAAAGAAAGAGAGAGAGAAAGAAAAAGAGAGAAGAGAGAGAGAAAGAAAGAAAGAAAGAAAGAAAGAAAGAAAGAGAAAGAGA